rnacentral:rRNA from 1 species
GAUGCAACGCGAAGAACCUUACCUGGGUUUGACAUGCACCAGACAUCCCUAGAGAUAGGGCUUCCCUUGUGGUUGGUGUGCAGGUGGUGCAUGGCUGUCGUCAGCUCGUGUCGUGAGAUGUUGGGUUAAGUCCCGCAACGAGCGCAACCCUUGUUCCAUGUUGCCAGCACGUUAUGGUGGGGACUCAUGGGAGACUGCCGGGGUCAACUCGGAGGAAGGUGGGGAUGACGUCAAGUCAUCAUGCCCCUUAUGUCCAGGGCUUCACACAUGNUACAAUGGCUCAUACAGAGGGCUGCGAGACCGUGAGGUGGAGCGAAUCCCUUAAAGUGAGUCUCAGUUCGGAUCGGGGUCUGCAACUCGACCCCGUGAAGUUGGAGUCGCUAGUAAUCGCAGAUCAGCAACGCUGCGGUGAAUACGUUCCCGGGCCUUGUACACACCGCCCGUCA